rnacentral:lncRNA from 12 species
UCAUUUUGCUCAGUGCAGAGUGGCCAAAAGCAAGUUGUAUUGGGAAAAAGAGAAAAAGAGAGGAGAGAAAGAAGGAAAGAAAAGAGAAAGAGAAAAAAAAAGGGAAGAAAAAGAAAAAAAAAAACGAAAAAAAGAAAAAAAAAAAAAAAGAAGAAGAAAAAGAGAAAGAAAAAGAAAGGAGAAAAAAAGGGGGUGGGGGAAGGAAACAAAUCAAAAAGCAAAACAAAACAAAAACAAAAACAAAAACAAACAAACAAAAAAAGAACCACCGGGGAGUAUCUUCUGAUUCUGUGUACUUUAAGUCCCUUGGCUUCUCCUGGAACUUGUCCGUCUAGCUGGUGUUCUGGGGGAGGGGCCUGCUGUGCUGAUUUUCAGGUGUUAGCAGUUGGGGGAGCUGCUGUGCCCCUGCCUGGUGCAGGGCUCAGUGGGGGUUGUUUACCCCGUGAGGCCGCAGGAGGAACAGCCCCAGUGGCGGGGCAGCUCUGGAGCCCUGGAUUCAGCUCCGGCAGGAACUCCGUCUGCAGGGCCUGGAGGCUCCGGGGCGGGGCCGCUGAUGUGCUCAGCUGGGGCAGGAGCGUCCUUGCUGUCCUGGGCCCUCCCGGCCUCUGCCUGUCCCGGGGGAGGCGGGAUCCUGGGCUGUGUCCCGGCGCCCUGUGCUCCGGAGCCUGCGCUGGUGGAUUCGCGCUCCCGGGCCGCAGCCCCCUCCGCGGAGCCGCCGCCAGAGCCCCUCCGAGCUGCUCCUGGAACCGCGCAGCCCCCUCCGCACGGAGCCUCUUCCUCUGCCCGAGCCCCUCCGAGCUGCUCCCGGGGCCGCGCAGCCCCCUCCGCGGAGCCGCCGCCCGAGCCCCCCGAGCUGCUCCUGGAACCGCGCAGCCCCCUCCGCACGGAGCCUCUUCCUCUGCCCGAGCCCCUCCGAGCUGCUCCCGGGGCCGCGCAGCCCCCUCCGCGGAGCCGCCGCCCGAGCCCCUUCAGCUGCUCCGGGUCCCGCCGGGUCCCGCCGUGCAGCUGCAGCCCUUAGGGAGCUCGGCGCACUCUCCUGGGUGCGCAGUUGCUGUUACUGUCCCGGGGAGCCCGAGGGCAUCCCCUUCCUUCUGGGUCCUGCUCCAACUCCCUGCGAGCCCCUUUCCGCCCGGGAAGGUCGGUGCAGCUCCUGCGUCUCCGGGACGGGGCUCUCCUGUCCUGGGGACACUCGCCCCAGCCUCAGCCCGGCUCCUCGCGGGGCCCCUCCCCCUCGGAGGCCUUUGUUCCUUUAUUUCUUUUUCCCCGUCUUCCUACCUUGAUAGAAGCGCGAACUCUUCUCACUGUCGCAUUCCAGCUGGUCUCUCUUUAAAUCUCAGGCCGAAUUCAUAG